rnacentral:rRNA from 1 species
GAUGAACGCUGGCGGCGUGCUUAAUACAUGCAAGUCGAACGAAUUGAAGAUGUGCUUGCACAUCUGAUGUUAGUGGCGAACGGGUGAGUAAUACAUAGGCAACUUGCCCCAAGGACUGGGAUAACACUUAGAAAUGAGUGCUAAUACCGGAUAGGUAAUACAAAGGCAUCUUAGUAUUAUUAAUGUUGGGUAUCCAACACCAUGGGAUGGGCUUAUGCUGUAUUAGCUAGUUGGUGAGAUAAAAGCCCACCAAGGCGAUGAUACAUAGCUGGUCUGAGUGGAUGAACAGCCACAUUGGGACUGAGACACGGCCCAGACUCCUACGGGAGGCAGCAGUAAGGAAUUUUCGGCAAUGGAGGAAACUCUGACCGAGCAACGCCGCGUGAGUGAUGAAGGCCUUCGGGUUGUAAAGCUCUGUUGUAAAGGAAGAAUGUAUAGAAAAGGAAAUGUUUCUAUAGUGACGGUACUUUACUAGAAAGUCACGGCUUACUACGUGCCAGCAGCCGCGGUAA